GCCGAGUGUCUCGCCGCCAGCGGAGGGGGCGCGCGCCUUUCGGAACCUUCCAGAGAAAACGCGGCCCCGGUUCUGCUCUGUCCCGCCCUCGGGAAGGGAGCGACCAGAGGCUCCGCCCUGCCGAGUUCCCGCGCAGGAGGGACGCAGGGAGAAGACGACAACCAUCUCUGAACCAGGGAGAGAGCCCUGACCAAGAACCAAAUCUGCUGGUGCCUUGAUCUCCAGAGCUGUGAAGAAUUCAUGUCUAAGCUCAAUAUGACCUCCUCGAGGGGCGUUUUUCCGGCAGUCUUAUGACCACCACCACCCCACCUCAAGCCUGCUCCAGCCUCAGGCUCCUCAGGGCCGUUCCUGCGGCAUAUGGAGAUUCCCAGACUAGGGGUCUAAUCAGAGCUGUAGCUGCCGACCUACACCAGAGCCACAGCAACGCGGGGUCCGCCUCGUCUGUGACCUACACCACAGCUCACAGCAACGCAGGAUCCUUAACCCACUGAGCAAGGCCAGGGAUUGAACCUGCAACCUCAUGGUUCCUCGUCGGAUUCGUUAACCACUGUGCUACGACGGGAUCUCCUCAUAACAUUUCUUGAGGAUUCAAGUCAAUUUCCCCAGAAUUAACCCUCCGUUCUUUAAUAGAAUGGCUUUUUAAAAGUCAUCUCCUCCAAGAAAGAUGAAAGGACUGAUCAAUCGCCCUUUCAUUUCAAACAUGAAAUUGGUAAAUAGCAUAUGCCCUCUGUUCUUGUGCAAGUUUGUAGCCCAAAUCAAAUUUCCCAGAAAUGGACAAUGAAGAACAACUGCUGCCAUCUCGCUGACAACCUUAGAGACAUCUGACCCUCUUCUGGCACACUGUGGGCAAGUAUUCUCUAAAACUCUUCAUCCCAAGUGAAUAAGUAUGAGGCCACACAGCCCAUGGAUUUUCGAAUUCUGUUUUUAUUUUUGUUUUUGUUUUUUGAGUCUAUUUAUACAAGAUGGUUUGCCAACAUUUUGUUCCGUCAUGGUGAAUACAUUUAUGGUAAGACAAGAUGUCCCUGGAAUACAGUGGUAAAAGUGUAAUUUAUUGUUUCAGAUCUUGGAGAAAGGAUGGGGCGGGGGGAGAUGGUAAGGCAAUAAAAGAAAUUCACCCACUUUAACUCAGGAGGUGCCAAUUUUAAUAGAAACACUCAUACUCUUAUUACAAAUUUCUCUCUUCUCAAAUGCUCUUUUAUAUAUGACUAUAAAAGAAGCAAAAAAAGUGCAACCACUGUGGAAAACAGUAUGGAGAUUCCUCAUAAAACUAAAAAUAGAACUACCACUUGAUCUAGCAAUCCCACUCCUGGGCAUCUGUCCAGAGAAAACCAUGACUCAAAAAGAUACACGUACUCCAAUGUUCAUUGCAGCAUGAUAUACAAUAGCCAAGACAUGGAAACAACCUACAUGUCCAUUGACAGAAGAGUGGAUAAAGAUAUGGUGCAUAUACACAAUGGAAGAUUACUCAGCCAUUAAAAGGAAAGAAAUAACAGCAUUUGCAGCAACAUGGAUGGACCUAGAAAUUAUCAUGCUAAGUGAAGUCAGUCAGACAGUGAGACACCAACAUCAUAUGCUCUCACUUACAUGUGAAUCUAAAAAAAGGACACAAUGAACCUCUUUGCAGAACAGAUACUGACUCACAGACUUUGAAAAACUUACGGUUUCCAAAUGAGACAGGUUAGGGGGUGAGGGGUUGCGCUGGGGGUUUGGGAUGGAAAUACUAUAAAAUUGGGUUGUAAUGAUCAUUGUGCAACUAUAAAUGUAAUAAAAUUAAUUGAGUAAAAAAAAAGAAGCAA
rnacentral:lncRNA from 1 species